rnacentral:rRNA from 1 species
AUUGAACGCUGGCGGCAGGCCUAACACAUGCAAGUCGAGCGAGUGGCGGACGGGUGAGUAAUUUAUGGGGAUCUGCCCGAUAGAGGGGGAUAACUGCUAGAAACGUUGGCUAAUAGUGCAUACGAUCCGAUUGGCCCAUGUGGGAUUAGCUAGUGGGUGGGGUAAAGGCUCAACUAGGGGACGAUCCCUAGCUGGUCUGAGAGGAUGAUCAGCCACACUGGGACUGAGACACGGCCCAGACUCCUACGGGAGGCAGCAGUAGGGAAUAUUGCGCAAUGGGCGAAAGCCUGACGCAGCAAUGCCGCGUGUAUGAAGAAGGCCUUCGGGUUGUAAAAUACUUUCAGCAGGGAGGCGGUAUCCGAAGAAGAAGCCACGGCUAACUCCGUGCCAGCAGCCGCGGUAAUAC